rnacentral:rRNA from 1 species
GAUGAACGCUGGCGGCGUGCCUAAUACAUGCAAGUCGAGCGAACAGAUGAGGAGCUUGCUCCUCUGACGUUAGCGGCGGACGGGUGAGUAACACGUGGAUAACCUACCUAUAAGACUGGGAUAACUUCGGGAAACCGGAGCUAAUACCGGAUAAUAUAUUGAACCGCAUGGUUCAAUAGUGAAAGACGGUUUUGCUGUCACUUAUAGAUGGAUCCGCGCCGCAUUAGCUAGUUGGUAAGGUAACGGCUUACCAAGGCAACGAUGCGUAGCCGACCUGAGAGGGUGAUCGGCCACACUGGAACUGAGACACGGUCCAGACUCCUACGGGAGGCAGCAGUAGGGAAUCUUCCGCAAUGGGCGAAAGCCUGACGGAGCAACGCCGCGUGAGUGAUGAAGGUCUUCGGAUCGUAAAACUCUGUUAUUAGGAAGAACAAAUGUGUAAGUAACGAUGCACGUCUUGACGGUACCUAAGCAGAAAGCCACGGCUAACUACGU